GGCUGCUGGGCUUGAGGAGCCCAUAGGAGAACAUUUCUCUUGGGGCAGCUGGGUAGCGCAGUGGAUAGAAGCCUGGGGUUGGGAGGAUCUGAAUUAAAAUCUGAUGUUAGACACUUCCUAGCUGUGUGACCUUGGGUAAAUCAACCCCAAUUGCCAAGCCCUAGCAGCUCCUAUGUCUUAGAUAUUAGAUCCCUCUAGAACCCUUAGGUGGAUCCAUGGAUAGAGAGCCAGGUCUAGAGAUGGGAGGUGCUGGGUUCAGAUUUGAUCUCAGAUACUUCCUAGCUGUGUGGCCCUGGGCCAGUCACUUAACCCCCAUUGCCUAGCCCUUACUGUUCUUCUGUCUUGGAACCAAUAUAUAGUAUUGAUUCUAAGAUGGAAGGUAAGGGGGGAAAGGGGGACAAAAAGAAUUGAUACUUAGAAAGCACAGGAAUUUUUUUUUUAAGCAUUCCUUUCCCAGGCAUUCAUUCCAGUCAUUUGUAGUUGAAAAUUUUCUGAAUCUCAACAGUUUCUCCCAGAAGUCACAUUCUUGUAUUAAUCUCCACAACAUCUCCUAGGAGACUGAUAUUAGCACUAUUUUAUGAAAAUUUUUAUUUUAUGAAAUAUUUUAUUAUUAAAUAUUUAUCUUAUUUAAUGAAAGUAAGUAGAUCCAACCCAAUAAUAUUGAACUUAAGUUGAAGAGAAUAUUAUUCUUUUAUUUUUCUAUUCAUAAUCAACAUGAUUACGUAAUAUUAAAUGUAAGACCCCCCACUUAACCUAGAGUAGGAUUCUCAAUUGGCUUUCUUCUACUUGGCCAGAAAUAUACCCCCAGUCAUCCUACAAGAUUAGACCACAAAAAAGUCGAGUUGUUUUUCAGGAAGCCUCUUAAAGUACCCACAGUGGAGGACAAUGGGGGGAGAGGGGAAGGAUGGAAAACUUGGAUUAAACUGACUCAUUGUUGCCCAUGUGGGGUUGACAUGGAUUCCAUUAUUAGCUUAGCUGUCACCUUGAUAAACAGAAAACUGGAAGGAGAGCUACUGCCCUGGGGACCCCAGGUGGAUCAAAGAAACAACAAAUGUUUUUUGCUUUUUGUUGUUUUUAUCAGCAAGGUGAAAGGCCAGCAAAGAAGGUCCAAAUACAGGCCUCAUUGGUCAUUGGGAUGUUAUGCAAGUUGGGACAGCAAGGAAAGAAGGAUGAUAAGCCACUAAGCAUUACAUGGGAAGAUUAAGAGUCAGGAGACAUGGACUCUGCCACAGAUUUAUCUCUGUAACCUCAGGGAAGUCCUUUAACAUUUUAGCACUUAAAAAUACAUUUUCCUAUGGAAACAGAAUUAAAGGGUCUGGAGAAAUUCCCAGGUUAGCCCGUGGAACCUAGCUGAUGCAUAUGGAACUGAAAUACAGAGCAUUUGCCAUGAAAAGGACUACAACCACUAGUGUUACAAUAAGUAAAUGAAAUAUUUUUAAUGGUUUUUAAAUACUGGUGCUUGAAGAAAAGCAGACAAACUGGGGAAGGAGGAAACAGCAGAAAAGCUUUUGCAGAUUUAAAAGAACAAAAUACCGGAGAUGAAGACCUGAGAUUUCGAAAAUGGCCAUAUCAGAAGGUGUAAGCAACAGAGAAAAACUCAAGGCGGGAAAUAGACAUUGCCAGGUGUGGAGUUGUAUUAUUCAUUAGAAAGAAUUCAAAUAUAGGGGGAAAGGGAGAUGGAGAACACAGCAGGGCAAUGAAGACAGAUCCCUGUGAUGGCCGCCAGGGGGCAGAACGAGCUCACGCUAUCUCUGGCCUCAGUUUCACCUGUAAACAAUUUCUCUGCAGGACUAGUUUGAUUUCUAGCUGUAAAGGUCUCGGUCCCCGUCUUUGAAGUGACGAUUAAGGUUUCACCAUUCUGGAAAGGCUUAUCUGGGCUCAGAACUGGGGAAGCAAGGGGGGAAGGGAGAAAAGACCGGAACUUCCCUUUCUGACCUAAAACUGCGGCUAGAGACUGGCCUCUGGCCUCAGCCUUCAAGUCCCUGGGAAAGUGUCCCCUCCCCCCCCUCCCCCCAUCUCGCUUCGCCUCAGGACUAGAAGGGGGCGGGACUGGGACUGUGGGACCUCAGGGGCCCUCAAAUCCAGGCUCUUUGUUACAUGAACGAGAAACUGAGGCUCUGUGGCUGAGUCAAAAUUUGAACCCAGCUCCACCACUCUUUCCAUCGUCCCCCCUGGGAACGUGAGGCCCGGAAUCUAGAAAGGAAAUACGAAGAGAGAGUAAACGCGAGUCUGGCCCACGCUCCCAGGGCCGCUUCUGCAGCCCCAGUCCUGAAUUUCACCCGCCAGCCUGAAUUCUUCAUCCCCCAUUUUCUUCAAUCUAAUUGGUUCUGUGGUUUCACUGAUCUCCCUCCAAGGACUAGGUCUGCAUUCGCGCCCUCCCUAGGAGCCCGGCGCUCUUCGGAAUUGUUCGUUGAUUACCGCUGCGGCGCCGCCUCGCGCUUGUGCAUGGCCUUCUGGGUGAUCCCUCAUCUUUGGUUCUCCCGUGUCUCAGGGUCCCAAAGAAACCCUGAUAAAAUGCGAGCGCCGACUGGCUGGACCUGUGCUUGCCUGCGGAGCUUGGACUAGUCUCUGAAAGGAUGUGAGGAUGACCUGGCUGCGACUCCUGUCACUCCACUGAUCAUCAAGGUUGAUUCGGCUGAUCUGGCUGGCUAGGUGGGUGUCCCCUUUCUCCCUCACCACUACAUGUGUGUCCCUCCCGAAACUGGACACUGGUUGAAGAGGGCAACCUUUGGUAUAGCAGUAGCUGCGCUUCCUUGCUAGAACAGGCUCCCAAGGUCCAUUUGAAAAGUCUCAGAUAUAAGUCUUCUGAGUGUUUGCUUCAUGGGGAGGUGUGGAGAAAGAGAUCCCAAAUAAAAGAGGGUGACAAGAGAAAGGGGCAAUAGCAAGCCAGUUCCUAGGCCUUGGACAGAAAGGAGAAAUAGGGCCAGACCACAAAUGGGGAUGACUGUCUGUGUAUCUUGGCGGGGAGGGGAUGCAAGCAAUGACUCUGCUAGAAGGCCUCCCCAAAACGUUUAUCCUACCCUAACCACCUUCCAGCCUGCUGUACCGGGUCCCUACAGGAUGGAUUUGGAGAAGUCCCCAGUGCUUUCCUAGCCACAGAGUUGGGGCAAAGGUAUCCCUGAUACCUAAAUCAGAAUCCUAAAAGCCUAUCUCCAUGAAGUUAUUGGGUUCUACACUCCUGCAUACAUAGUCUCAAUGGAGGAGAAAGUGGAUUGUGGAUUCUUACUGAUUUUUUUAAAAUGUAAAAUUUCCAUUUUAAAAGUUUAAAAAAAUAAUUCUAGCCAGGGACAUCUUCUUUUGAAGGUAUAUUCCCUGGAAUUUUCUAUUCCCCACCCAAUACCAGAGCCAACCCACAUUUUCUUGGGUCUAAGUCCUCUCCUUUUAAUAUUUGGGCACUCUACUCUUUAGAGUAGAAACCCUUGACCCUUAGAAACCCUUGACCAAACCAGAAUCCCCAGAAUUAUCCAUUCCAACUCUGCUGGCCUUGAGCCCAGAACUUCCCUCAACCUUUUGCCAUCCCAAAUGCUGUACCCAAGAGUAAACCACAAAUACCCUUUAACUUGUCCCUAAUAUUGUUCCUUUGGAAUAAACUCUUUUCCAACUCCCA